CAACUCGGCAUUCAGCGAUGCCCUCCGGCACCGUCACCGAGCAGUGCCGUUUUAGUCGAUAGUCGUGAACUCGUGACUCGCGAUUCCGGUUAACUAAGCAGUUAAGUUAUAAGUGGCUUGCAAAUAGAUUAAAUUGCGUCGGCACGUUCGGCGAACUCCGGCGGGACCUCCAUUUAUCUGAUUUCCUCAGUGAUGACUAUAAAUGAUAGUACCUUUUUUUGUCCCGGUAUCGCGAACUGCGUUAGCAUUACUUCAUCCCAAAUUACUAAACUACUUACCGAUUAUCCUAAUUGUUUUAUAGUACAUGCACUAUGACGUAUUAUGUGCCUACCUUAAGCAUAUUUCAUAAAUUACUAUAAUAAUACACCUAGUGCCUACCGGGUAACCGUUCAGCGUUUUGCUGUCAGACAUUUUGUAAGGACUCAUAAGUCCUCGAGCAGACCAACAAAAUUUAAUGCACAUAGAAAUAUUUUAAUAGAAUUUUAUUUAAUUAUAGGGUAGCACAGAUUAUUAUGUAACGAAAUUUAUGUCUUCGCAUAUUAUGCAUUUUAGAAACUUAUACCUGUGUUUCGAACAUCGUGUCAGCGAUGGGAUAAAAUUUUUUUUUUAAACCGAGUUCACAGCUAUGUUGUUCCUCGUGCAGUUGUGUCCAAAAGUUAAGCUCAACUAUGGACAUUUCCUGGUAGACCAUGGUGAGUGAAUGAUACCAUUGAUACCAUGGCGACAGCGGUCAAUCAGAAUACGGUACAUCCACACGACGCGACAGAUGAUGUAGUUUGUGUGUUAAUUGUGUUUCAAAAUACAAAUGUAUGAUACGUAAAAUUAAUUAUUAUGAUAUUUAUUCGUAUUAAGUAUUCAAUAUUCAUGUUUUUAAAAAAUUUAUUUUUAGUUAUAUUUCAUCACAUUUAGUUUCUUUAAAUUUGUAUCAAACAUAUUAUUCAUAUCAUUAAUUUAUACAUAGUUUAUGCUAUCAAAAUACCAUUGAAUUAACAAAUCAUAAUUUAUAAAUAAAAUAAAAUGAUAAAUAAAUAAUUUAUUUAAACUUGAAUCGUAAAUUGCCUACACGAAACGCCGUCUGAAACAUUGUGCAUAAUAUUAUUAUGUUGGCCGUGGACCAAUAUUAAAGCUAGCUAUAGGAUCUUUUAUAACACUAUUUAAAUGACAUAUUUUUUUAUUUAAAACAUUCGAUAGGUUUAUUUAUACAGAUUCGUAAUUUAUAAAUAAUUAUUAAUUAUAAUUUAUAAUUUCCUUUACAAUUACUUAAAUGUAUUAAGAGGUGUGUUGUCUUCGCAUUUCCGUCUUACUAACUUAUAACAUGGCCAAUUGCACGUUUAGCGAAUAAUCCAUUUUACUUGAAUAUUUUAAUAUUGUGAAAAA